rnacentral:rRNA from 1 species
GGGUUGUGAGGUUAAGCGACUAAGCGUACACGGUGGAUGCCCUGGCAGUCAGAGGCGAUGAAGGACGUGCUAAUCUGCGAAAAGCGCCGGCGAGGUGAUAUGAACCUUUGACCCGGCGAUGUCCGAAUGGGGAAACCCAGUGUGAUUCGUCACACUAUCGUUAACUGAAUACAUAGGUUAACGAGGCGAACCGGGGGAACUGAAACAUCUAAGUACCCCGAGGAAAAGAAAUCAACCGAGAUUCCCCCAGUAGCGGCGAGCGAACGGGGAGCAGCCCAGAGUCUGAAUCAGCUUGUGUGUUAGUGGAAGCGUCUGGAAAGUCGCACGGUACAGGGUGACAGUCCCGUACACGAAAGCACACAGGUUGUGAACUCGAAGAGUAGGGCGGGACACGUGGUAUCCUGUCUGAAUAUGGGGGGACCAUCCUCCAAGGCUAAAUACUCCUGACUGACCGAUAGUGAACCAGUACCGUGAGGGAAAGGCGAAAAGAACCCCGGCGAGGGGAGUGAAAAAGAACCUGAAACCGUGUACGUACAAGCAGUGGGAGCACCUUCGUGGUGUGACUGCGUACCUUUUGUAUAAUGGGUCAGCGACUUAUAUUCUGUAGCAAGGUUAACCGUAUAGGGGAGCCGAAGGGAAACCGAGUCUUAACUGGGCGUUAAGUUGCAGGGUAUAGACCCGAAACCCGGUGAUCUAGCCAUGGGCAGGUUGAAGGUUGGGUAACACUAACUGGAGGACCGAACCGACUAAUGUUGAAAAAUUAGCGGAUGACUUGUGGCUGGGGGUGAAAGGCCAAUCAAACCGGGAGAUAGCUGGUUCUCCCCGAAAGCUAUUUAGGUAGCGCCUCGUGAACUCAUCUUCGGGGGUAGAGCACUGUUUCGGCUAGGGGGCCAUCCCGGCUUACCAACCCGAUGCAAACUACGAAUACCGAAGAAUGUUAUCACGGGAGACACACGGCGGGUGCUAACGUCCGUCGUGAAGAGGGAAACAACCCAGACCGCCAGCUAAGGUCCCAAAGUCAUGGUUAAGUGGGAAACGAUGUGGGAAGGCACAGACAGCCAGGAUGUUGGCUUAGAAGCAGCCAUCAUUUAAAGAAAGCGUAAUAGCUCACUGGUCGAGUCGGCCUGCGCGGAAGAUGUAACGGGGCUAAACCAUGCACCGAAGCUGCGGCAGCGACACUUAUGUGUUGUUGGGUAGGGGAGCGUUCUGUAAGCCGUUGAAGGUGUGCUGUGAGGCAUGCUGGAGGUAUCAGAAGUGCGAAUGCUGACAUAAGUAACGAUAAAGCGGGUGAAAAGCCCGCUCGCCGGAAGACCAAGGGUUCCUGUCCAACGUUAAUCGGGGCAGGGUGAGUCGACCCCUAAGGCGAGGCCGAAAGGCGUAGUCGAUGGGAAACAGGUUAAUAUUCCUGUACUUGGUGUUACUGCGAAGGGGGGACGGAGAAGGCUAUGUUAGCCGGGCGACGGUUGUCCCGGUUUAAGCAUGUAGGCGGAACGAUUAGGUAAAUCCGGUCGUUUUUUAACGCUGAGGUGUGAUGACGAGGCACUACGGUGCUGAAGUAACAAAUGCCCUGCUUCCAGGAAAAGCCUCUAAGCAUCAGGUAACAUCAAAUCGUACCCCAAACCGACACAGGUGGUCAGGUAGAGAAUACCAAGGCGCUUGAGAGAACUCGGGUGAAGGAACUAGGCAAAAUGGUGCCGUAACUUCGGGAGAAGGCACGCUGAUAUGUAGGUGAAGCCCCUGCGGGUGGAGCUGAAAUCAGUCGAAGAUACCAGCUGGCUGCAACUGUUUAUUAAAAACACAGCACUGUGCAAACACGAAAGUGGACGUAUACGGUGUGACGCCUGCCCGGUGCCGGAAGGUUAAUUGAUGGGGUUAGCGGCAACGCGAAGCUCUUGAUCGAAGCCCCGGUAAACGGCGGCCGUAACUAUAACGGUCCUAAGGUAGCGAAAUUCCUUGUCGGGUAAGUUCCGACCUGCACGAAUGGCGUAAUGAUGGCCAGGCUGUCUCCACCCGAGACUCAGUGAAAUUGAACUCGCUGUGAAGAUGCAGUGUACCCGCGGCAAGACGGAAAGACCCCGUGAACCUUUACUAUAGCUUGACACUGAACACUGGUCCUUGAUGUGUAGGAUAGGUGGGAGGCUUUGAAGCGUUGACGCCAGUCUGCGUGGAGCCGUCCUUGAAAUACCACCCUUUAAUGGCUGGUGUUCUAACGUAGACCCGUAAUCCGGGUUGCGGACAGUGUCUGGUGGGUAGUUUGACUGGGGCGGUCUCCUCCCAAAGAGUAACGGAGGAGCACGAAGGUUAGCUAAUCCUGGUCGGACAUCAGGAGGUUAGUGCAAUGGCAUAAGCUAGCUUGACUGCGAGAGUGACGGCUCGAGCAGGUGCGAAAGCAGGUCAUAGUGAUCCGGUGGUUCUGAAUGGAAGGGCCAUCGCUCAACGGAUAAAAGGUACUCCGGGGAUAACAGGCUGAUACCGCCCAAGAGUUCAUAUCGACGGCGGUGUUUGGCACCUCGAUGUCGGCUCAUCACAUCCUGGGGCUGAAGUAGGUCCCAAGGGUAUGGCUGUUCGCCAUUUAAAGUGGUACGCGAGCUGGGUUUAGAACGUCGUGAGACAGUUCGGUCCCUAUCUGCCGUGGGCGCUGGAGAAUUGAGGGGGGCUGCUCCUAGUACGAGAGGACCGGAGUGGACGCAUCACUGGUGUUCGGGUUGUCAUGCCAAUGGCACUGCCCGGUAGCUAAAUGCGGAAAAGAUAAGUGCUGAAAGCAUCUAAGCACGAAACUUGCCCCGAGAUGAGUUCUCCCUGAGACUUUAAGUCUCCUGAAGGAACGUUGAAGACGACGACGUUGAUAGGUCGGGUGUGUAAGCGCAGCGAUGCGUUGAGCUAACCGAUACUAAUGAACCGUGAGGCUUAACCUUACAACGCCGAAGCUGUU